UUUCAAAAUGGGAAGGUUGUGCGAUAUAAAAAGAAUGGGCUUUGUUACCGGGUCAUCUUGAUGCACAACUUACUGUGACUAAGGAUAAAAAAGAAGAAAACAACACGAUGAAGGUUGUGGCAGUUUUCAUACUUGUGCUCGUGACUGAAGUGAACUGUAGAACUCUUACGAACGAAUGGUGGGGGCAUGGUUGCACUGGGGACUUAGAGUGGAGUAACUGUUAUUCCUCUUGCCCACUCAUCUGUGGGGAACCGGAUCCAUGGAUUUGCGAUCUGAUGUGUAACGCGGAGUGCGGUUGUCCUGGAAACAAAAUUCGGGUCUCUCUGGACAGCGACAAAUGCGUUGACAGCAGAAUCGAAUGUCCUUAGCCCAAAGAGUACCUGCUUUUAUCACAAUGGCUCCAUUUUCAGAAAGUGCAUACGAUUAUGUACAUGCAUGUGAACAAAUGGAAAUAAAAACCAUUCUGAAAAUUUU